AGAAUCCUGAUGUGUUCGUCCGUACCAAAGUGUUUUGACCGAACACCUUUAUAAUUGGGAGCUCGUUUGUUUCUAUGUUGCGUGCGGGCCUUAACCAUGAGGAAGCACAAUAAAUAUAGAACAGAGCACCCACCUGCCAUGAGCGGGAUCAAAGCUUUAUACUGGACGGCACGAUCGGGACUGCU
rfam:Virgibacillus pantothenticus strain DSM 26 super13, whole genome shotgun sequence.